UACGUAGGUGGCUAGCGUUGUCCGGAUUUACUGGGCGUAAAGAGCGCGCAGGCGGUCGUUCAAGUCGAGUGUGAAAGCCCCCGGCUCAACUGGGGAGGGUCACUCGAUACUGAUCGACUCGAAGGCAGGAGAGGGAAGCGGAAUUCCCGGUGUAGUGGUGAAAUGCGUAGAUAUCGGGAGGAACACCAGUGGCGAAGGCGGCUUUCUGGCCUGUUCUUGACGCUGAGGCGCGAAAGCGUGGGGAUCAAACAGG
rnacentral:rRNA from 1 species